rnacentral:rRNA from 1 species
CCUACGGGGGGCUGCAGUGGGGAAUUUUGGACAAUGGACGAAAGUCUGAUCCAGCCAUUCCGCGUGAGUGAAGAAGGCCUUCGGGUUGUAAAGCUCUUUUGUCAGGGAGGAAAUCUUCAGUGUUAAUACCGCUGAAGGAUGACAGUACCUGAAGAAUAAGCACCGGCUAACUACGUGCCAGCAGCCGCGGUAAUACGUAGGGUGCAAGCGUUAAUCGGAAUUACUGGGCGUAAAGCGUGCGCAGGCGGUUUUUUAAGCCAGAUGUGAAAUCCCCG